rnacentral:lncRNA from 1 species
UUUUUAUUUUUAUUUUAUAUAUUUUUUCAUUAGGACCAUAUCUCCAAAAAACAAGAAAAAGAAACAAAAAAUACAAAAAAUAAAAACAAACAAAAAAAGAGGGUAAUGUACAAGUUUCUGUAUGUAUAAAGUCAUGCUCUGUUGGGAGAGCGGCUGAUCCCAGUUUGCUUCAUGAAUCAAAGUGUGGAAAUGGUUGCAUACAGAUUGAUUUAGAAAAUGGACACCAGUACAUACAAAAAAAGAAAAAAGAAAGAAAACCAACUAAAUGGAAGAAACACAACUUCAAAGAUUUUUCUGUGACAAGAAUCCACAUUUGUAUUUCAAGAUAAUGUAGUUUAAGAAAAGAAAAAAAAGAAAAAAAAAGAAAAAAACUUGAUGUAAAUUCCUCCUUUUCCUCUGGCUUAAUGAAUAUCAUUUAUUCAGUAUAAAAUCUUUAUAUGUCCCACAUGUUAAGAAUAAAUGUACAUUAAAUCUUGUUACGCACUGUGAUGGGUGUUCUUGAAUGCUGUUCUAGUUUGCCUAGCAUGGUUGCCAUAGUAACCAAGUUAUUUACAGGAAAUAGGGAAGAUGUAACAACUGCUUCCUGGUAAUGAUGCCCAAAGGCCAGAAGGGACUUUCAGGGUUUCCUACUUGAGAGUGGGAGCAACAAUUUGAUUUUCUCAGAUUGUUUAGCUAAUUAGGUCUUCUUUGAAGCAAUUAACUCUGGUGACAUUGAGAAGUGGUAAUUCCCUCAUGGAUGGGUGGUGGCUGCCAACCCACUGUGACAUGGGGCCCUGCAAGCUAACUGGCCUGAAACCACGACCUUCUGCCUCUCACUACUGAUUUAACCCAAGUCUGCACCCGUCAUGUUUCUUCUGUGUGCCUCCAAGUUACUCUGCGUUAGUUUGCUCCAGCGUGUAUAAUAUUUAUAUUGUGCAAUGUUAAAGAGAACGUGUCAUAUUGUAUGCCGUGUGUAUAGUGCCAAGUGAUGAUUCUGUUUCAGAGCAUACCUUCCUUCCUGCCCAGUCCCUGGCUCUCUAAUACCCCACCCUGAUGGAAAGUGCUUCUUCCUGGGUAAUUGACUGUUACUGUGUAACGCUCAGUCUCAUUGAAACUUACAUAACCAUGCUGCUGGUGCCCCUUCCUACCCUACCUCUCUCAGCACUCUUCAGUUGACACUUCCCACACCUGUCACUGUGGCCCACCUUGCUCACGCUGACAUCUGGAAGAGUUAGACAGGAGCACACACUUACAACACUAGGAGAUGUUAUUCUGGUGUCACGAGAAAGAAAUUGGUUUUUCCUGCAAACAGUCCCAUCACCAAGCAGCCCCCACAUCAGGUCAGCAAAAAGAUCUGUGUUGAAUCAAAACUCCAUUUAUAAUUCUACUAGAUGGGAAUACAUCUGCUUACAAAGGACAGAUUUUAGUGUUCUGUGAUGAAAAUAUGGAGAGUGCAAGAGAGAGUUCAAUGGAAUCCUAAUCUUGCUCUUGCAGACAAUGAAUGAAAGGUAUAGACAGGCUCAGUUCCCUGUCAGAAGAGUGGUCUCAAAGACAAGUGGCUGUAUAGCAGCCAGGCCCAGAACAGCCUCGCAGCACACACUAACACCAAGCGGGUGUCUGAGCUCUCCUAGGAAGCCUUGUGCCUGCCCUCCCUCCAUUCACCCAGAUCCGACUCCUGGAAGCCCACGAAAGAGUCACCCUUUGCUUCACAUUUCCUGACGAUACCGAGUUGCUGCUCUGUCCUAAAAAUAUUAGUUCUUUUCCAGGGCUUUCAGAAAUUUGCAGGAUGCCCAUACUCUAAAUGUGUACCAAAAAGAGAGAGAAAUAAAGGUGCGAAGAAAGUUUAGUAUUUUGGAAUGGUGCGAUAAAAUGGAAUCUGUUGGUUUUUAAUGUAACAUAAGAUACUAUUGGCUGGCACUGGCUAAAAAAAAUAUCUAAGUGUUGGAGUUGGAUGCACAAUCAACUUUUACUUAGCUAUUCAAAGAGUACUUAUGUUUUCCAAGUUAAAACAGACUUGUUUUUGACAGGGGCCGUGGGUGGUCUUAUACAAUGCCAGCUCCUAACUGCAGCUUCUGAGAACUGGAUAUCGUUUGCCCUGAGAGCUGCCCGUCUCCAACUAUGUGCUGCUGCUGCCCUGUGUGCUCAGCCCACAAGGAUGUGGAGACUGGAUAGACAACCCCUUGCUUCUUGCUGGGUUGUGCUGAGUUCUUUGCAGUCCAGUCAAGUGCCCAGAGCUACCAGCCUACGUCCCUCAUGCAUCCAAGAGAAAUGAUCUUGACUAUCAUGAUCAAAACAGCUGUAGUAAUAUUUCUAGUAAAUAUUUCUGAUGACUCUGUGUAAUCUCCUACAACAGGACACUAUUCAUUAACUUGACAGAGACAUGUGGGCAUGUGGUCCUGCUUUAGUUUAACAGACAAGUCAACCAGUUCUCAUUACUUAGGAAGAGUGAGGCUAUGUCUGUUACAAUCCCAAUGUGGUGCUUGCCCUUAUCCAAAGACAGUCCGGGGGCCCUGUCUGCCUGAACUAUGUCUCGCUCCCUCUUGGGCUUCCCACUGGGAUGUGAAAAGAUAACCAAUGGCUCCCAGGUUCCCAGUGCCCCCCAAACCAGUAAUCAGGUCUGGGACUACAGAACCCGCAAAAUCAUACACAGGCUGUUUCAAAGCCAGUACUCUCUUUAUACUCCUGCUUCCUCCAGCCCCCAUUUCACACCCCACCCAAAUCACAAGGUCCUCUGAAGUCUCAGAACUCCAAAUUAACGUUGGGAUUUACGAUGUGAAUGCUGAGGAGAAAAUUGGGAGUUGGUGGGAGAUCACCAAAUUGUCAAAACUAUGAAACUCAUCUGUCUUCCCAAAUCUGACCUCAGGGACUUGGGGGGUUCACUCUGGCUUCUGCCACAGUAUUUUCUGGGGAACCAAAGGCCUCGGGAAUAGAGAAACAGGUUGCCGGAUAUCCUGGAAGUCUAAGCCAUACUGACCAGUUUGUCUUGAGUGUUUUCUUUGUGAGCCUGGAACUGUCCCCGGACCCCUUUCUUUUAAACAUGGUUCAGGACUUUAAAAAAAAGCACUGUAUUUUUUUUAUGUAAGCCAAGAUGCCCUCCCUAGCAGAGAUAGCGUUGAACUGUCUCUAGUUCUGUAGCCUGAGAGACUUAAAUCGUUUAACUUCAGUGUCUUUGUCCACUCUGUUGAACUGCU